AGAGACUUUGGAUAUAAUUACUAUAUCUUUAAUAGAUAGAUUGACAGUUAACUGCCAUUAGAGAAAGUCUAUAAGAAACGUGGACAGUUAACUGCCAUUGAAGAAUGAGUCUGGGAGGGACUGACAGUUAACUGCCAUUGGAGAAUAUGAGUGACUUGGAAGUUAAAUGUCAUCUUUGAAAAGGCUUGAAGAGACACUUGGAGAAAAGGUUUGAUGCAACUGCCAUCCUGAACAUCCUUCUACCUGAUCAGUUCUCUUUACUGGGUUAAAGUCCUGAAAUGACUAACUACCAAGGACCCAUGGAGUCAGACACAGGCACGCCUGAGAGAAUAGAGAAGAGCUCAGAAGGUAUGAGCCCUAAUUCACUGCUAUGCCCACAGAUUUGAUUGAAUUGGAGAAAAAUAGAUGCUGUCAUCCCGAGGAACACAAAAGAUUGUGGGGGAAGGCCACCUCAACUGAAGAUCUGAGAAAAGCUCAUGGAUGGCUUUUAUGAUAUAAGAACAAUGUGACAUGGAGCCACAAUAUCAUCACAUCUGAACUCUGUGGAUGACACAGCAUCUCUUCUCCCAUUGUCCUUUCAGCAUCUUUCCAAUGGUGUUCUUCAAAGAGCUGGUUCAUGUUGAAUCCUAUAGUGGGCCAGGUGGGAAGUGUAUUUUUGGCUGGAGAAUCUGUGAUUGAGGACAAAUGUCUCAUGGCUUUAAAACCACAACUAGGGGAUUUUUAUAUCAACUGAUGGGAUAUACAAUAAUAUUCUCUCAGCCUCAGCGUUAGUUCUGAAAAUUCUCCUGAGGUUUCUAAGUUGCUGUCGUACCUUGUCCUGACCUAUCUCUCCAGCUUUGUGUUAUAUCCCUCCCCUUCUCACACUCUGUGGUCCAGCAGGACUGGACCCAUUUAAUACUCCCUCUACUAUCUCUAUGCUUCUGCAUUGGCUAUCUCCUUUGCCUGCAAUAUAUGGUCUCCUCAUCUAGUCUUCUUAUAAUAUCUUGUGGCCUUAAAAGCUGUGUUCAAGAACCAUUUUCAAUAUAAAUCAAUCAAUAAACAAGCAAUGAGUAUAUAA